ACUAUUUGUUUUUUUUUUUUUUUGUAAAUUGUCCAUAGGCUUUGCUCACCAUUCGAUGGUUCUUUUGGUUUCUUAUUUAUUUGAAAGUGCUCUUUGGUAUCAAUUAACCUUUUCUCUGUGAUAACACCUACAAUUAUUUCCCCCCGGUUUGUUACUUGCCUUUUGAUUUGCUUCUAGUAUUUAUUUUUACUAUGAAAGAGACUUUUUCUUCUGUGUUUUUUGUUUUACAUAUAGUUAUGUCUAUAUAAAUAUGUUAUUUACUUAUAUAAAUAUUUGUAUUACACAAUCGAGUGUCUUUUCUUUUAUAGCUUCUGGAUUUUGAAACAUAGUUUGAAAGGUCUAACUUACUCCAAGAUUAUAAAAGAAUUCCCCACGUCA
rnacentral:lncRNA from 1 species